rnacentral:rRNA from 1 species
AUGGCUCUCAACAGGAUUCAGAACCAUCAAGUUGUUCAGCUGGUUGAUCCGGAGCUCGGCUACAAUACCGACCCCGAAACAAAGAGGACGAUCGAUCGCGUCGCGGAGGUGGCCUUCCAGUGCUUGCAACUGGAGAGGGAUCUAAGGCCGUCCAUCAAGGAGGUGGUGGAGAUCCUGACUUGCGUCAGGGACGGAGACGGUGGGGAUAAUAGCAUGAAUAAGAAGGCAUCUCAGAAAGAAGACGUGUGCUUGCUCAAGGAUGGCCUGCAGUUCUCGCCCGACACUAUUAUACAUAGAUUCCAUAGCCAAUCAACUAACCACUCGGUAGCAUCGAAUGCUAGCAGAUUAUCUAACAUCAAAUGCUAA